UUUUUUUUAAAGGAGCAUUUGUUUUUGCAGAAGAAAGCUCGGACCGCUGGGUGGUGUAGUUGAAGCUGGAUUGGUUGGUUGUGAUCUGUACUAAUUGUGAAAUCGAAUGGAAGAAAUCCAUGUCCAUUUGUUGUACCGAAGUCCCUUGAGCCAUAAACCUAUUCCACACCGCUUAGUGCAGUGCUUUCCACUUACUGUCUGGAGAGUAAAGUUGGGUGGAUUUGAUAUCAGAAUACGAUGACUAGCGGAAAAGAUGAGAAGAAAAAGGGAGAUUAAGAGAAUGGCGAGCUCUUUGGCCUUCUUCAACAGCCCACUUCUCCUCUUGGAAAACGUCACUUGUCUGCUAGUAGAGUUGUCGAUUCUCUGGAUCACAAUCUUCC